GAAGCUAGCUGCAUUGCAUUGAGCAUUUGGAAAGGAGAGAAGGUACAGAUGUCCAGAAGCAAGAAGGGGAUGUCUGAACACAGAUUUACACCAGUAGAGACCAGAAAGACAGAUGGUCAACAAAUAGCUGGAAUGGAAACAAGAGGCACCUACGUUUAGGUCUCAGCUCUGAGGUCUCGGAACCAGCGCCUUCCCCAGGAAAGAACUUGGCAAUGCCUGGGAGUAUUGUCCCUGUGGGGCCAAAGAAUCUUUGUCAAUGGAGAAACAACAGGCUGCCUGAACCCGUGAAUGGCCGUGGAUACUUCAUGGCUUCAGCCAGAACUCUGAUGGAACUUUUAGCCAGAGAAUCCAAUGCUGCAAAGUUCUAAUCCCUUCUCUGCAAGGGCUUGUUGUGGUCUUACGACAGUGAAAUGGGGGAUACCAGAAGAUUUGAAAAUAAACAAGCUUCCUGAGGCUCAUGGAU